CCUACGGGUGGCAGCAGUGGGGAAUAUUGCACAAUGGGGGAAACCCUGAUGCAGCGACGCCGCGUGAGUGAAGAAGUAUUUCGGUAUGUAAAGCUCUAUCAGCAGGGAAGAAAUAGCGACCUUUGGGUCGCCAGACGGUACCUGGCUAAUAAGCCCCGGAUAACUACGUUCCAGCAGCCGCGGUAAUACGUAGGUGGCAAGCGCUAUCCGGAUUUACUGGGGGUAAAGGGAGCGUAGACGGAAGCACAAGUCUGAAGUGAAAUGCCGGGGCUUAACCCCGGAACUGCUUUGGAAACUGUGCAGCUAGAGUGCAGGAGAGGUAAGUGGAAUUCCUAGGGUAGCGGUGAAAUGCGUAGAUAUUAGGAGGAACACCAGUGGCGAAGGCGGCUUACUGGACUGUAACUGACGUUGAGGCUCGAAAGCGUGGGGAGCAAACAGGAUUAGAUACCCCAGUAGUC
rnacentral:rRNA from 1 species